AACUUAAUACAAGCGCCAGAACUGUUUACAGUUGACGAGGGCGGGGUUAAUCGAAAAUUCGGCGGGUGCCCCGCGGUGUAAUCAACACCGUAAAUACCAUACAAAUUUCCAGAGUGAUUUGGAAGACAAAGUUGGUAGGUUGAUUUAA
rnacentral:ncRNA from 2 species